UACAGGAAAGUAACAUUUAUCGAAUGUGUUUUUGAAAUGUUUCAGAUGAAUUUUGGGCGAAAUGAGCAAUUAAAUUAGCAUUAGCCGAUGCUAUUUUGCUUAGCUCGCUAUCAGUGCUGUGGCUGAAGCUUACAGAGUGCUAACAGUUAGCCUACUAGCUAAUCCGAUAGCCUUAAUAUUGUUCGGGGAACUUAGUUGGCUUGGUAUUGCUAACUUCACAGAGCUAGUUAUUUAUAAAGGCAGCGUUGCAGUUUACACACUUGGUAGUUGAUGUUUAACUGUUUGUGCUCUUGUCUGAGGGAAUUUGUGCAUUUUUUAAAGUUGCUAUUCACACUUCUUGUUUUUGACAGCGAGGCGGCGAAUUAGCCAUCAUUUCAGUCUCCAGUUAGCUUAGCCUGUUAGCUAGCUAGCUAGUCGUGUGAGUGAGAGAGAGAGAUGUUGCUAAAGUUCGGUGCUGUGCCUCGAGAUGCCUGCGAUGUUGGAAAAGGCUACGACGGAGAUUUCAGGGAAAAGAAGAGGCAGAAACUCGGUGAACAACCCGACAAAAAGUUUUACUGCCAACGGCAACAGUAACAAUUGUUGGUCAGUGAUGAGGAGCAGGGCACUUUUUCCGUGAAAAAUGAAAAAAGGAGAUCACCUUUAAUUAUUCGAUUAAAGAAAAGGUUGCCUGAUGUUCAUGACUGGAGAUAACAAUCUGGCCACCUGACUGCAGGGCACAGGGAGUAACAACAAGGGGGGCAUGGAGUGACGCACCUCUCUGCCAGAUCACCAACAGACUGGACCAGGUGGAGCUGAUUAGUGCUUAUUAACUCUGCCUGGCCAUUACACUGUGUCUGUGGCCUAACCUACAUAUCCAAUUUGUGUGUAUGUCACUUUUUGUUAGACAUGGAACAAUGUGUUAAAUUCACAUCGGCCCUGAUUGAUCUUAAUUUAACUGAUUGUGUUUCUUCACAAAUAGUCCUAUUCUGAAUAUUUUCCUUUGUCUCUGCUAACUAAUAUAAUGUUAUAAUAAAACUAAUACUAAUAAAAUAAUAAUCAGCGGAGACAAUUUUUUAUGGUCAAAAAUAAAAUUAGACAUCAAUAGUUUUAACUGAACUGUGAUUUACUAAUACAACAAGCCAAUUUCUUAAAUAUAAAAAAAAUAAAAAGCAGAAGCUCAAAACAUUUGAAAAUAAAAAAUAUAAAACAAGUAGUUGAAAAUUUUCCUUUAAUAAUGGAAAAUUUGCCAUUUGCCAAUCCUGCAAUUUCAGGAUUAUGCUCAACAUAAUUUUAAAACUGGAAUAUUUGCUGACACUUUAUUCCACAAGGAAAAUCUGAAGCUUAAGUUCUGACAGUGUGUUUCAUGUAAAGAAUAGAACACAUCACAUAUGGGGGACAUGGUCAGGCAUCCACAUACACUAUAUUAACAAAAGUAUUCGGUCACCCAUCCAAAUGAUCAGAAUCAGGUGUCCUAAUCAC